rnacentral:rRNA from 1 species
CCUACGGGGGGCUGCAGUGGGGAAUUUUCCGCAAUGGGCGCAAGCCUGACGGAGCAAGACCGCGUGAGGGAAGAAGGCUCUUGGGUUGUAAACCUCUUUUCUCUGGGAAGAACGCAAUGACGGUACCAGAGGAAUCAGCAUCGGCUAACUCCGUGCCAGCAGCCGCGGUAAGACGGAGGAUGCAAGCGUUAUCCGGAAUGAUUGGGCGUAAAGCGUCCGCAGGUGGCAGUUCAAGUCUGCUGUCAAAGACCGAGGCUUAACUUCGGGCAGGCAGU